rfam:Pan troglodytes isolate Yerkes chimp pedigree #C0471 (Clint) chromosome 17, whole genome shotgun sequence.
CAGUGCAGUCACCCAUAAAGUAGAAAGCACUACUAACAGCACUGGAGGGUGUAGUGUUUCCUACUUUAUGGAUGAGUGUACUGU